UAGAGACGCAGGUGCCUCCGAGCAGGUCCCUGCCAGACGGCGGGCGUCCAGCCCCUGCCGGUACCCGGAGGCCAGGCAGGUGUGCCGCUGGGCCUCUGCCGGCCCCCUCGCGGGGCCCUGGUGCCUUGGCUGGCCCUCCUUGUGGCACCAGGCAGGGCCUCGUGCUGGGCCGGGGUCUUUCCCAGCCCAUUUCAGUUUCCAAGAGCACAUUUUAAUACCUUCAGAAGAACGCGGGCAGGUGACAUGAGAAUCCCUGCAGCCUCCCUGUGGGGACGGUGGAUGGCCCAAUGUCUGGGAGAUCUGGUAUCUGGACCACUGGCCUCUGUCCUGGUCCCAGAAGACGUGGGGACAGGGCACAGCCUGGCGUGCCAGUGUUGGCUGACCUCUGAGCACAUGCUGUCUCCCCAGGGACCCCGAGUUCGUCUUCUAUGACCAGCUGAAGCAGGUGAUGAACGCCUACAGGUGAGUGGCAGCCCAUGACAGCCAAGCGGACCGCGGAUCACAGAGCCGGGGAGGCGGCCAUACUGGCCCUGACUCACCCUGCUCUUCCCUGGCCACACGGUCCCCUGCUUCCCCCAGGGUCAAGCCGGCCAUCUUCGACCUGCUCCUGGCCGUCUGCAUUGGCGCCUACCUCGGGAUGGCCUACACGGCAGUCCAGCACUUUGACCUCCUCUACAAGACCGUGCAGAGGCUACUGGUAAAGGCCAAGACACAGUGACCCGGCCACCCGUCCACACCCGCCACGCAGGAAGGACAGCACCCCUGGCCGUUGACACUGAAUUACAGUUUCCGAGCCGCUCUCCAGGCCUGGGGCGUCUUUCUUUCUCUUUGCCGUGGACUCCCCCGGAGGAGGGCGCGGAGCCGGCUGGGGCCAGGCCUCAGACGCGGGAGCCAGCGUGGACGAGCCCCAGCCCGGGGCCUGCCCAGCACACGCACCUUACGGAGGAAGCCCAGCUGCAGAGCUGGGAUCAGGCCCGAUCCUGACCGUGGCAGCUGGCUGUCCUGGACGCCCCUGGACGCCCGGGUGUCCUCUCCACCCUGCUGCUGACCUGGGUGUGGUGACACUUCUCCCUCUUCCCACCUGCUGGUUGCAGCCUCUAGGUCUCAGGAUUCGGCCAUUUGUGGCCUCCCCUGCCCACCGCUCCAGGAUACCCCCUGGCCACCAGGUGGACACAGCAAGCAGAUGGGGCUGGUGCUGAGCCCGCCCCCAGGUGGCCGCUCCCGCCACACCUGCGGGUCACUAGCUGGUUGCUGCCCCUCUGCCUGCUGGCCCUGAGCCCAGAGCCCCCACACCCUGCAGCUCCAGGCCGCGCUCCCUGCUGCGCCCUGGGGCCCUGCCCUGUCCCUAGCGCUUCCGGUCCCCACAUACCCCGCAGCUCCCCACGUGCCCUGCGGCUCCGCAGGCCGUCUGCCCCUUGAGCUCACCCGCCCCAGGCUCCUCAUGCCUCUGUGUGUCCAUCUGGGAAAGAGAAGGUGUGGGGGAGC
rnacentral:lncRNA from 1 species